rnacentral:rRNA from 1 species
UACGUAGGGUGCGAGCGUUAAUCGGAAUUACUGGGCGUAAAGGGCGCGCAGGCGGCCGCUCAAGUCAGAUGUGAAAGCCCCGGGCUCAACCUGGGAACUGCAUUUGAUACUGAGUGGCUAGAGUUCGGGAGAGGAGAGUGGAAUUCCCAGUGUAGAGGUGAAAUUCGUAGAUAUUGGAAGAACACCGGUGGCGAAGGCGGCUCUCUGGACCGAUACUGACGCUGAGGCGCGAAAGCGUGGGGAGCAAACAGG